rnacentral:rRNA from 1 species
UACAGGGGGUGCAACGUUGCUCGGAAUCAUUGGGCGUAAAGCGCACGUAGGCGGUUCGUUAUGUCGGAUGUGAAAGCCCUUGGCUUAACCGAGGAAGUGCAUCCGAAACUGGCGAGCUAGAGUACUAAAGAGGAUCGCGGAAUUCCCGGUGUAGAGGUGAAAUUCGUAGAUAUCGGGAGGAACACCGGUGGCGAAGGCGGCGAUCUGGGUAGAUACUGACGCUGAGGUGCGAAAGCGUGGGGAGCAAACAGG